UGCACCAUAACUUUAGUAUAAGUAAAUAGAAAUCUAUGAAAUUUAAACACAAGGUUUAUGACCUUAAAAGGAAGGUUGGGUUUGAUUUUGGGAGUUUUGGUCCCAACAGUUUAGGAAUAAGGGGCCCAAAGGGUCCAAAAUUGAACUUUGUGUGAUUUCAUCAAAAAUUGAAUAAUUGGGGUUCUUUGAUAUGCCGAAUCUAAUUAUGUAUGUAGAUUCUUAAUUUUUGGUCCCGUUUUUAAAUUGGUCUACAUUAAGGUCCAAAGGGUCCAAAAUUAAACUUAGUUUGAUUUUUAACAAAAAUUGAAUCCUUGGG
rnacentral:lncRNA from 1 species